GUCCCGGUAGCUCAGUUGGUUAGAGCGCACGGCUGUUAAAACUUAUACAGAUACCGUGAAGUCGGAGGUUCGAGUCCUUCCCGGGACG
rnacentral:tRNA from 1 species